GGUUGACCUCGGAUCAGGUAGGGAUACCCGCUGAACUUAAGCAUAUCAAUAAGCGGAGGAAAAGAAACCAACAGGGAUUGCCUCAGUAACGGCGAGUGAAGCGGCAAGAGCUCAAAUUUGAAAUCUGGCUCCUUCGGGGUCCGAGUUGUAAUUUGUAGAGGAUGCUUCGGGUGCGGCCCCCGUCUAAGUGCUCUGGAACGGGCCAUCGGAGAGGGUGAGAAUCCCGUCUGGGACGGGGUGUCCGCGUCCAUGUGAAGCUCCUUCGACGAGUCGAGUUGUUUGGGAAUGCAGCUCUAAAUGGGUGGUAAAUUUCAUCUAAAGCUAAAUACUGGCCGGAGACCGAUAGCGCACAAGUAGAGUGAUCGAAAGAUGAAAAGCACUUUGAAAAGAGAGUUAAACAGCACGUGAAAUUGUUGAAAGGGAAGCGCUUGCGACCAGACUCGCUUCCGGGGUUCAGCCGGCUUUCGGGCCGGUGUACUUCCCCGGGGGCGGGCCAGCGUCGGUUUGGGCGGCCGGUCAAAGGCCCCUGGAAUGUAACGCCCCUCGGGGCGCCUUAUAGCCAGGGGUGUCAUGCGGCCAGCCUGGACCGAGGAACGCGCUUCGGCACGGACGCUGGCAUAAUGGUCGUAAACGACC
rnacentral:rRNA from 2 species